UUGGAGGGCAAGUCUGGUGCCAGCAGCCGCGGUAAUUCCAGCUCCAAUAGCGUAUAUUAAAGUUGUUGCAGUUAAAAAGCUCGUAGUUGAAUUUCGGGAUUGACGUGACGGUCGUGCCUUAAGGGGUAUGAACUGUCGCCGUUGAUUUCUCACCUUCUGGAGAAUCUCGAUGCCCUUUAUUGGGUGUCUUGUGGAUCCAGGACCUUUACCUUGAAAAAAUUAGAGUGUUCAAAGCAGGCCUUUGCUCGAAUAUAUUAGCAUGGAAUAAUAGAAUAGGACGUAUGGUUCUAUUUUGUUGGUUUCUAGGACCGUCGUAAUGAUUAAUAGGGACAGUCGGGGGCAUCAGUAUUCAGAUGUCAGAGGUGAAAUUCUUGGAUUUUCUGAAGACUAACUACUGCGAAAGCAUUUGCCAAGGAUGUUUUCAUUAAUCAAGAACGAAAGUUAGGGGAUCGAAAACGAUCAGAUACCGUUGUAGUCUUAACCAUAAACUAUGCCGACUAGGGAUCGGUGGAAGUACAACUAGUGACUCCAUCGGCACCUUACGGGAAACCAAAG
rnacentral:rRNA from 1 species